rnacentral:rRNA from 1 species
GGCGAACGGGUGAGUAACGCGUGAGGAACCUGCCUCAAAGAGGGGGACAACAGUUGGAAACGACUGCUAAUACCGCAUAAGCCCACGGCUCGGCAUCGAGCAGAGGGAAAAGGAGUGAUCCGCUUUGAGAUGGCCUCGCGUCCGAUUAGCUGGUUGGUGAGGUAAUGGCCCACCAAGGCGACGAUCGGUAGCCGGACUGAGAGGUUGAACGGCCACAUUGGGACUGAGACACGGCCCAGACUCCUACGGGAGGCAGCAGUGGGGAAUAUUGCACAAUGGGGGAAACCCUGAUGCAGCGACGCCGCGUGGAGGAAGAAGGUCUUCGGAUUGUAAACUCCUGUUGUUGAGGAAGAUAAUGACGGUACUCAACAAGGAAGUGACGGCUAACUACGUGCCAGCAGCCGCGGUAAAACGUAGGUCACAAGCGUUGUCCGGAAUUAAUGGGUGUAAAGGGAGCGCAGGCGGGAGAACAAGUUGGAAGUGAAAUCCAUGGGCUCAACCCAUGAACUGCUUUCAAAACUGUUUUUCUUGAGUAGUGCAGAGGUAGGCGGAAUUCCCGGUGUAGCGGUGGAAUGCGUAGAUAUCGGGAGGAACACCAGUGGCGAAGGCGGCCUACUGGGCACCAACUGACGCUGAGG